CUUUGAGAAAAGACUAGGCUGUCUGGGAACUGGGAACUGUAGAUUUUUACAAAUUGUCCUACAAUAGCUAUUACUACUUUCUUUUUUCAUUCAACUAACAAGUAUCCAUUUAAUUAUACAUAAUUUUGUUCUCAAUCCCUAUGUUUCAAAGGAUUUUAAGAAUAAUGAUAAAAGAGAAUGAAGUUGAGUCUUCAGCAGUCUGCCAUAGGUUCUGGGAGAGGUAGAAAAAGAGCAUAUUAUCGCAGGCAAACACAUCAUCUUCUCCAGACAUGGAGGUCCUGCCUUAGGAGAUGUUACCAUUGUCCAUUCAUCUUGACAUCUCCUUUCUUCACCUGA
rnacentral:lncRNA from 13 species